rnacentral:rRNA from 1 species
GACAGAGGGUGCAAACAUUGUUCGGAAUUACUGAGCGUAAAGCGCGUGUAGGCGGCUAAGUAAGUCGGGCGUGAAAUCCCACGGCUCAACCGUGGAAGUGCACUCGAAACUGCAUAGCUAGAGUCCUGGAGAGGAAGGUGGAAUGCUUGGUGUAGAGGUGAAAUUCGUAGAUAUCAAGCGGAACACCGGUGGCGAAGGCGGCCUUCUGGACAGUGACUGACGCUGAGACGCGAAAGCGUGGGGAGCAAACAGG